UGUUGUUUAUGCAGUUUACUUCCUGUACAUGUUGGAAUGGAGCCAAGUGUAGUGUUAAAUAAAACGUUGGUCAAACCAGUUUCGGAUCAGACAGCAGAGCAGUUGAUGCUGAUAGAGGACAACUAUCUGACUCUAACCCGAAUCUUCUUCACACUGCAGUUAUUUCUCUUCCAUCAUGGAUGAGUGGAGGAUCGCACUGCUGGGAAAAAGUGGAACUGGGAAAAGCAGCCUGAUUAACACCAUACUGGGAGAGUCUGUGUUUGAAGUAACUUACAGUGCAGACUCUGGAACCACUGAAUUGGUGAACCCAACACGGAUCGGAACUGGAAAAAGCAGUCUGGCUAAAAAAAUAUUUG
rnacentral:lncRNA from 1 species